UAACAACGAGCUCUGGUACUGUGU
rnacentral:piRNA from 1 species